rnacentral:rRNA from 1 species
GUGCAGCAGGCGCGAAACCUCCGCAAUACACGAAAAGUGUGACGGGGCCAUCCCGAGUGCCGUCCGCUGAGGACGGCUUUUCCCCAGUGUACAUAGCUGGGGGAAUAAGGAGAGGGCAAGCCUGGUGUCGGCCGCCGCGGUAAUACCAGCUCUCCGAGUGGUGGGGACGCUUAUUGGGCCUAAAGCAUCCGUAGCCGGCUGGGCAAGUCCUCCGUUAAAUCCAACGAUUCAAUCGUUAGGGCUGCGGGGGAUACUGGUCCAGCCUUGGGGGCGGGAGAGGCCGACGGUAUUCCC